rnacentral:misc_RNA from 1 species
GAGUUUCAUGAUAAGAGAAAUUUAAAGGUGUGAAUUAGUUACAUUACCUUUGCUUAUUAAAGAGUUGAAACUAACAGAUGGUAAAGUAAGACAAGGUGAUUAGGAGGAUAGAGUAUUUGAAGUUUCAGAAAUCAUGUUUUGUACUAGAAGAUUAACUGGUAUCAUAUUAAAAGUAGAAGAUUCCUUAGAGAAGUUGAAGCAAUAGCCAUGGAGGUACAGAAUUGAGUGAUGAGAGGAUGGAAG